rnacentral:rRNA from 1 species
ACGAACGUUGGCGGCGUGGAUUAGGCAUGCAAGUCGAACGCGAAUCCCUGGGCAACUGGGGAGGAGAGUGGCGAAAGGGGCAGUAAGGCGUGGGUAACCUACCCUCCGGGCCGGGAUAGCUUCGGGAAACUGAAGGUAAUACCGGGCGACGCAGCGAGAUCCCAUGGUCUUGCUGCCAAAGGUCCGCCGCCGGGGGAGGGGCUCACGUGGUAUUAGCUAGACGGCGGGGUAACGGCCCACCGUGGCAAAGAUGCCUAGCAGGUGUGAGAGCACGACCUGCGCCACUGGCACUGAGACACUGGCCAGACACCUACGGGUGGCUGCAGUCGAGGAUCUUCGGCAAUGGGCGCAAGCCUGACCGAGCGACGCCGCGUGUGCGAUGAAGGCCUUCGGGUUGUAAAGCACUGUCGAGGGGGAGGAAGCCGCAAGGUUGACCUAUCCCUGGAGGAAGCACGGGCUAAGUUCGUG